UACAUGCUCCCUCUAGCUCAAAUAAUGGAAAACAAUGAAAUUUGCUACCAUAGUUAUGCAGAUGACACACAAAUUUACAUAACCAUAUCACCAGGGGACUAUAAUCCCAUACAUAUCCUGAGUAGAUGCAUCGAACAAAUCAAUGAUUGGAUGUGUCAGAGUUUUCUUCAGUUAAACAAAGAUAAGACUGAAAUAAUUGUUUUUGGAUCCAAGGAAGAACGACUUAAAGUCUCUGCUCAGCUUCAGUCUGUAAUGUUGAAAACUACAGACCAAGUCAGAAACCUUGGUGUGACUAUGGACUCAGACAUGAAUUUCAGCAGCCAUAUUAAGACAGUUACAAAGUCAGCCUACUAUCACCUUAAGAAUAUAUCCAGGAUAAGAGGGCUUAUGUCUCGGCAGGAUUUGGAGAAACUUGUUCACGCAUUUAUCUUCAGCAGACUCGACUACUGUAAUGGUGUCCUUACAGGACUCCCUAAAAACUCCAUCAGACAGCUGCAGCUGAUUCAGAACGCUGCUGCUCGAGUCCUAACAAGAACCAAAAAAGUAGAUCACAUCACUCCAGUUCUUAGAUCUUUACACUGGCUUCCUGUCUAUCAAAGAAUAGAUUUCAAGGUCCUGUUGUUGGUUUAUAAAGCAUUGAAUGGUUUCGGGCCAAAAUACAUUUCUGAUCUGCUGCCGCGUUAUGAACCAUCCAGACCUCUGAGAUCGUCAGGUACCGGUCUGCUUUCAGUCCCCAGAGUCAGAAGUAAACAUGGAGAAGCAGCUUUCAGUUACUAUGCGCCACAUAUUUGGAACAAACUCCCUGAAAAUUGCAGGUCUGCUCCAACACUCACCUCUUUUAAAUCAAGACUUAAAACAUUUCUUUUUGCCACUGCUUUUAACUGAAGCAAUUCAAGUCUUUGAACUGCAUUAUUACUCUGAGUUUUUUUUUUUUUUUUUAUAAUGCAAUUUUUAAUGUCUUUUAAAUGAAAUGUUUAUGUCUUUUAAUGUAAUUUGUGUGUGCCUGUAAAGCACUUUGAGUUGCCUUGUGUCUGAAUUGUGCUAUACAAAUAAACUUGCCUUGCCUUGCCUUGCCUUACUAUCAUUGUGUAAAGUUUCCUUUUGAU
rnacentral:lncRNA from 1 species